rnacentral:rRNA from 1 species
UCGAGGGGCAGCAUUUUAGUUUGCUUGCAAACCUAAAGAUGGCGAGCGGCGCACGGGUGAGUAACACGUAUCCAACCUGCCGAUAACUCGGGGAUAGCCUUUCGAAAGAAAGAUUAAUAUCCGAUGGUAUAUUAAAACCGCAUGGUUUUACUAUUAAAGAAUUUCGGUUAUCGAUGGGGAUGCGUUCCAUUAGUUUGUUGGCGGGGUAACGGCCCACCAAGACUACGAUGGAUAGGGGUUCUGAGAGGAAGGUCCCCCACAUUGGAACUGAGACACGGUCCAAACUCCUACGGGAGGCAGCAGUGAGGAAUAUUGGUCAAUGGACGAGAGUCUGAACCAGCCAAGUAGCGUGAAGGAUGACUGCCCUAUGGGUUGUAAACUUCUUUUAUAUGGGAAUAAAGUAUUCCACGUGUGGGAUUUUGUAUGUACCAUAUGAAUAAGGAUCGGCUAACUCCGUGGCCAGCAGCCCGCGGUAAUACCGGAGGAUCCGAGCGUUAUCCGGAUUUAUUGGGUUUAAAGGGAGCGUAGGUGGAUUGUUAAGUCAGUUGUGAAAGUUUGCGGCUCAACCGUAAAAUUGCAGUUGAAACUGGCAGUCUUGAGUACAGUAGAGGUGGGCGGGAAUUCGUGGUGUAGCGGUGA